rnacentral:rRNA from 1 species
UACGUAGGGGGCUAGCGUUGUCCGGAAUCAUUGGGCGUAAAGCGCGUGUAGGCGGUCCGGUAAGUCCGCUGUGAAAGUCGGGGGCUCAACCCUCGGAUGCCGGUGGAUACUGUCGGGCUUGAGUACGGAAGAGGCGAGUGGAAUUCCUGGUGUAGCGGUGAAAUGCGCAGAUAUCAGGAGGAACACCAGUGGCGAAGGCGACUACCUGGCCUGUUCUUGACGCUGAGGCGCGAAAGCUAGGGGAGCAAACGGG